AGCUCUUCUUUGCCUUUUGGCUUAGAUCAAGUGUAGUAUCUGUUCUUUUCAGUUUAAUCUCUGAAAGAUGCCUAUUGGUAUCAAUCGUGAUUAUUCCUAUUUUUGAUCCCCGAGGUCGUGCUUCUACGGCUUGCCGCACGCCGACUUCAUCGUGUCCCUGGUAUUUCACUGCCUCCAGGUGACGCAAACUGUG
rnacentral:snRNA from 1 species